rnacentral:miRNA from 1 species
CGAUUUUGACGAUAACCUA